rnacentral:rRNA from 1 species
GUCGAACGCUGGCGGCGUGCUUAACACAUGCAAGUCGAACGGAAAGGCCCUGCUUUUGUGGGGUGCUCGAGUGGCGAACGGGUGAGUAACACGUGAGUAACCUGCCCUUGACUUUGGGAUAACUUCAGGAAACUGGGGCUAAUACCGGAUAGGAGCUCCUGCUGCAUGGUGGGGGUUGGAAAGUUUCGGCGGUUGGGGAUGGACUCGCGGCUUAUCAGCUUGUUGGUGGGGUAGUGGCUUACCAAGGCUUUGACGGGUAGCCGGCCUGAGAGGGUGACCGGCCACAUUGGGACUGCGAUACGGCCCAGACUCCUACGGGAGGCAGCAGUGGGGAAUAUUGCACAAUGGGCGGAAGCCUGAUGCAGCAACGCCGCGUGCGGGAUGACGGCCUUCGGGUUGUAAACCGCUUUCGCCUGUGACGAAGCGUGAGUGACGGUAAUGGGUAAAGAAGCACCGGCUAACUACGUG